CCUACGGGGGGCUGCAGUGGGGGAUAUUGCACAAUGGGGGGAACCCUGAUGCAGCGACGCCGCGUGGGUGAAGGAGUGCUUCGGCAUGUAAAGCCCUAUCGGCAGGGAAGAAGCAAGACGGUACCUGACUAAGAAGCCCCGGCUAACUACGUGCCAGCAGCCGCGGUAAUACGUAGGGAGCAAGCGUUAUCCGGAUUUACUGGGUGUAAAGGGCGUGUAGGCGGGCAUGCAAGCCAGAAGUGAAAUCUGGGGGCUUAACCCCCAAACUGCUUUUGGAACUGCGUGUCUUGAGUGAUGGAGAGGCAGGCGGAAUUCCCAGUGUAGCGGUGAAAUGCGUAGAUAUUGGGAGGAACACCAGUGGCGAAGGCGGCCUGCUGGACAUUAACUGACGCUGAGGCGCGAAAGCGUGGGGAGCAAACAGGAUUAGAUACCCUAGUAGUC
rnacentral:rRNA from 1 species